ACACUUGCGUAAAAAUGCACACCCUUAGCUGAGGCAGUAAAUGUAUAUCAGAACUGACCAGAUGAACACAUUUCUCACAUCUUGGCACUAAAUGUAUAUCACAACUGACCAGAUAAACACAUUUCUCACAUCUCGAUGAGAUUCCUAACCAUUAAAAAAUGUCUGAAUAUGAAGCAAAAUGAGGUUUAUCACACUUGCAUAAAAAUGCACACCCU